AGCGAACGCUGGCGGCAGGCUUAACACAUGCAAGUCGAGCGCCUGUAGGAAUACAGGAGCGGCAGACGGGAGAGUAACACGUGGGAACGUACCUUUCAGUACGGAACAACCAAGGGAAACUUUGGCUAAUACCGUAUACGCCCGUAAGGGGAAAGAUUUAUCGCUGAAAGAUCGGCCCGCGUCUGAUUAGCUUGUUGGUGAGGUAAUGGCUCACCAAGGCGACGAUCAGUAGCUGGUCUGAGAGGAUGAUCAGCCUCACUGGGACUGAGACACGGCCCAGACUCCUACGGGAGGCAGCAGUGGGGAAUAUUGGACAAUGGGCGCAAGCCUGAUCCAGCCAUGCCGCGUGGAUGAUGAAGGCCCUAGGGUUGUAGAGUCCUUUCGACGGGGAAGAUAAUGACGGUACCCGUAGAAGAAGCCCCGGCUAACUUCGUGCCAGCCGCCGCCGUAACAC
rnacentral:rRNA from 1 species